rnacentral:lncRNA from 1 species
UUUACUAAUAUUUCUCUCUUUUUUCAGCACUGAUAACCUCUAAACUCUUGUCGCACUGCUCGGUUGUUCAAACUUUAUAAAUAAUUAUAAUCAUAUCUUACAAUAACUAGAUAUUAAUUAAUAUAUCACUAAUAUGGAAGUAACAUAUUAUUUUAAUUAUCAUCGCGUCAUCAAUCAUAAUACUGUUAUCUCGCUUCUACAUUAGUGAUAUAUUAAAUAUUUAGUCAGCAAAAUUAUAUUAUCAAAUUUGAUGGUAAAAAUUUAAAAAAUUUGAGGUAUAAAUUAUAAUAAAUUAAA